UGGAAGUAGGACCAUAUGUAUUGCUUGUGAUUUUCUUUUUCUGUUACUUUUCCAACUAUUUCUGUUUUCUCCCUGGAGUCUAACUGUAGGUAGUGCCUAGAUCUCUCGGUUUCCGGUGAGGAACCUGAACUGUGGGUGUUGUAGUUCUCCUGCCUUCCAGGGUUUCUGGUUGGGCAGCAUUGGUGUCACACUAAUAGUCCUAGGUGGCUCCGGAAGCAGGUGCUAGCCACCCAGAGCAAGGCAGGCACGUUUGGCUUGGGUAGAUUGACUUCCAUUCACUAAAACAGUGCGCCUGGACUGAAGAAGCUGGGGCUCACUUCCACGCAUGAGCUGUGCUAUUUUGGAAUACAGCAGUAAGAAAGACAUCACCCUCCCCAUAGAUGGACAUGCAUGGAGAUAAAGACCAAAAUAUGAAGAAAGUAAUUGUGAAUGAUUUUCAUGUAUAGGCCAAAGGAAUGGGCACUUUAUUCCAGGAAGGAAAUGAGAAAUGGGCGUGGAUCAUUGUAAGGAGUUCCACAUUCACUGCAGAAAGUUUAAGAACCAUGAUCAUACUUAUCAAGGAUGGACACCUAAAUGAAGCUAACAUCUUGUUCGCUAGAGUAGUUAACCAGGCCUCACCUGACAUGAAAAGUGGUCAGAAAACACAGCCCUGGGAGAGAAGUGGAAAAGUUUAAUGCAAGGCACCACUGACUGUCACAGAGGUGAGAAAAUGUUAAUCAGUGAGAAAGCCCAUUUUUGGUCAGGAAGAAUUAUACAAAGUAGAUCUGAAGGAAAUUUGGGUGCCAUGGAAGAACAAAAGCUCUCAAAAACAUGCAACAUUCCAGAAUACCAAGACCCAAGUUUGCUUCACCAUUGGCCAGAUGAUUCUACUCUUUGUGGUAAUAAUGCUUCCAAAACUAGGAAUCCAUUCUGGAGUGAACUGUCUGCUUCCAACCCAUUUUUGGAUGAUAUAACUCAGCUAAGAAACAGCCAAAAGAGAGAUAAUGUUUCCAUCUUGAAGGAAGAUCCUUUUCUUUUUUUAAGAGAAAUAGAAACUGGGAAUUCUUUUGAUUCCUCAGGUGACGAACUUGAUGUGUGUAACUUGUUCAGGCAUUCCUCCUCGAGGAAAUCAGGAAGAUCUAAAAGUGUUUCAGAACUUCUAGACAUUUUAGAUGACACUGCCCAUCCUCAUGAUAAUAUUCACAAUUCUGACCAGAUCCUAGUACAAGACUUAGAAUGGCUUCAAGAUGACCGGGAAGCUUAUAAGAUGGCUUGGUUAAGCCAACGCCAGCUGGCCCGCUCCUGCCUGGAUUUGAAUACAAUUAAUCAGAGUCCUGGAUGGGCCCAGACACAGGUGGCAGAGACCAUCACAGUUUGUAAAUUAAAUCACCAAGGAGGCUCUGUACAAUUACCGGAAUCAGACAUCACUCUUCAUGUUCCCCAAGGUCAUGUAGCUGUGGGAGAAUUCCAGGAAGUCUCACUAAGGGCUUUCCUGGAUCCUCCAAAAAUGCUCAAUCAUGAUCUUUCAUGCACUGUAAGCCCUCUUUUGGAAAUCACAUUAAGCAACCUUAAUACAAUGGAAGCUAUUUUGCUGGAGAUGAAAAUCGGGGCUGAAGUGAGAAAGGAUCCUUUCAGCCAAGUCAUGACAGAAAUUGUGUGUUUAUACAGCCUGGAAAAAGAAGGCCCUUUCAGGGCAUUAAACAUCUGCUAUAUUUAUAAGGACACCAUCCAAGUCAAGCUAACGGACUUCAGUCAGGUGAUGUAUCUAGUGAUUGCUGCGCAAGCUAAAGCCAUUCAGUCCCCAGCUGCCACUAUUUGGGACUAUAUCCACAAAACCACCACAGUUGGAAUUUACGGACCCAGAUACAUCCAUCCCAGUUUCACUGCUGUUUUCACUGUCUGUGGACACAACUAUCUGCCAGGAAAGCUCACAGUCUCUGAUAUUAAGAAGGGUGGGAAAAGUACAUCUCCAGUUGUAUUUCAGCUCUGGGGGAAGCAUUCGUUUUUACUGGACAAACCACAAGAUUUAAGCAUUUCAGUUUUUUCAUGUGAUCCAGAUUUUGAAGUAAGGGAGGAAGAAGAAAGGAAAGAAGUUACACAAAAUCAGCUGGAAGCAGGUGAAGUAGUUCAUCAACAAUUUUUAUUUUCUUCGGCUGACCAUGGAGAGAUGCACUUGUUUGUUUUCCGUGUUCAGGUGGAUACUCCCGACUGUAGACCAGUUACACAGUUCUUUAUCACUUCACCUGAUCCAGCUCUAAAUUUAAAAAGGCUGUCAAAUCUGCCUGGUUAUUUGAAGAAGGAGAAAGAAGUCAGAUCUGCUCCUUUACUGCCAGCACUGCCUGUUAAGUAUCCCACAUUCCAAGAUAAAAAAUUGAACUUUACCAAGUAUGGGGUGACCCUAAAGACAGUGCUAAGACAAAUCAAGCUUGACUACUUACUUGAAUAUUUCAAAGGGGACACAAUAGCUCUUCUAGGAGGAGGUAAGAUAAAAGCCAUUGGUCAGUCCAAAGUGAAAGAAUGGUAUGUGGGAGUCCACCGAGGCAAGAUCGGACUUGUGCACUGCAAAAAUAUCAAGGUGGUUUCAAAAGAACAAUUAAUGUCUGUGUCUGACAGUAUCUUCACAACCAGGAAUCUUCUUGAACAAAUUGCCCUGCCCUUUAAAAAAAUGACUUAUAUAUACUCAGUUGUAUUGACCUUGGUGUCCGAAAAAGUGUAUGACUGGAAAGUUUUAGCUGAUAUCCUGGGUUACUCACAUCUGACACCAGAAGAUUUUGAUCAAAUACAAGUAAACAAAGAAUCAGAAAGGGUUUCUUAUGUUGUAAAGAAGUUAAAGGAAGAUUGCCAUGCUGAUAGAACUACAAGGAAAUUUCUUUAUGAACUGAUUGUGGCUCUGCUAAAGAUGGACUGCCAAGGGUUAGUAGCACAUCUUAUCCAAGAGGCUGUUAUUUUGACUUCAGCUGUCAAGCUUGGAAAAGGCUGGAAGGAACUCGCUGAAAAGCUGGUAAAACUCACAAAGCAACAAAUGAAGGCAUAUGAAAUUCCUCACCAAGGAAAAACUGGAGAUGUUGCUGUUGAGGAAUUCCUGUGCAUGCUCAUUGCUGAACUCCUGUGCUGUAAGGCGGUGUGCUUGGUCUUAUGCUUCUUUUGCCCUCCAAGGAGGACACUGCAGCCCUCACAAAAGGAGGAAGUCAGUCAUAAGCAGUCCUAGUGCACAAAUCAUCUAGAAUGGAGCCUUCUGAAGAACCUCAACCUGCAACUGGACCAAGCUUGCCUGAGUGUGAAGCCCAAUUACUCCCUUUGUGGUUCUCAGUGGCCCACACGUCUUCUGGUCGUAUUGCUUCCUGUGCAAAUCCUGAAACCUGGGUUGAGAUGGUUGUGUGAAAAGAUGGCAGACAUUGUUGUUAUUUCUGGGUUUCUCAUCAAUAAGUGGAACACAAGCCUUCUUCUUGUCCAUGGUGAGUGAAUAAUCUGGACCAAAAAUACUAAUAGUUUUGAUGAAACUCCUGGUACUUGUGAGAUUGUUACCUCAUUUACCAUAGUUUUGCCUUCUGAUACACGAGAGAGCAGUAGCCAGGUAAGACUAUGUAAAACCUUCUUUUCUGAUAUUUUUUCAUCUCUGAUUCUUCCAUUUUCUCCCUUCUCAAACACAAAGUAGUGUAUAAAGUAUAAGAAGGAGCAUGGUAUUAGCUGAUACUACAGAAAUAGUUGAUUUACUCAUGAACUGAAUUUACUUAAUGUAAUGGUUGUGUGUGUCAAGAAGUUAAGAGAAGUUUAACUAAAUUACCUCAGCAACUUUACACUUUAGGGUAUAGAAGACCCACCCUAGGAUGGCUCAUUGCUAGGAUGGUAUAAAUGGGAAAUGAGGAAGGAUGGGUCGGCUUCUGUUCUUCAGAGGAGCUCCAGUCUUCACAUUCAGGUUGGACAUCAUCUCUGGGCUUCCAGCACACUCUUUGGCUUCCAUGAUAGACUCUUCAGCUCUCUAGUGCAGACUCCUUGGCUUCCGGCAUGGAUCCUCCAGUCUUCCUGUGUAGACUCUUUAGCUUUCCAUUGCAGAUUCAUCGCUCUCCGAUUAUGGACUUGCAGGGGACACUACAGUGAACUCCAGAUGUUGGACUGAAG